AGCACCAUGGGCACCCGCGACGACGAGUACGACUACCUCUUUAAAGUUGUCCUUAUUGGAGAUUCUGGUGUUGGAAAGAGUAACCUCCUGUCUCGAUUUACUCAAAAUGAGUUUAAUCUGGAAAGCAAGAGUACCAUUGGAGUAGAGUUUGCAACAAGAAGCAUCCAGGUUGAUGGGAAAACAAUAAAGGCACAGCAGGGCAGGAGCGGUAAAGGGCUAUAACGUCUGCAUACUAUCGUGGAGCAGUAGGUGCCUUAUUGGUUUAUGACAUUGCUAAGCAUCUCACAUAUGAAAAUAUAGAGCGAUGGCUGAAAGAACUGAGAGAUCAUGCUGAUAGUAACAUUGUUAUCAUGCUUGUGGGCUAUAAGAGUGAUUUAUGUCAUCUCAGGGCAGUUCCUACAGAUGAAACAAGAGCUUUUGCAGAGAAUGGUUUGUCAUUCAUUGAGACAUCUGCUCUAGAUUCUACAAAUGUUGAAGCUGCUUUUCAGACAAUUCUAACAGAGAUAUACCGCCUUGUUUCUCAGAAGCAAAUGUCAGACAGACGUGAAAAUGACAUCUCUCCAAGCAACAAUGUGGUUCCUAUUCAUGUUCCACCCACCAAUGAAAACAAGCCAAAGAUGCAGUGCUGUCAGAACAUCUAA